AUUUAAGUUAUUAUAUAAAUUAAUUAUUUAUAAAAUAUUAUUAAAUUUUAGUAACAAAUAAAGAAAAAAUUAUUUAUAUUAUAAAAUAAAGUAUAGUGAUAGAAUUAUUAAAUAUAAAAUUAAAUAUUUAAAAGAAUAAUUAAUUUUUAGUACCUUGUGUAUCAGGGUUGAUUAAAAUUAUAUUAAUUAAUUAAUUUUCUCGAAUUUAAAAGAUUUAAAAAAUUAUAUUUUUUAUUGUAAAAUAAAUAUUAAAAAUAAUUUUUUAGUAAUGAAACGUUAUUCGUUUUUAAAUAUAUCUAGUUUUUUAAGAAAUAAAUUUAAUUUAUUAAUUAAUUUUUUAUUUUAUAUUUUUAAAUAAAAUAAAAAUUAAUUAAAAAUAUUUUAAGGGAUAAGCUUUAAAAUAUAUUUAUAUAAUUUUUUAUAAUUAAUAAAUAAAAGUAGAAUUAAAAAUUUUUAUCAUUUAUAAUUUGUUAUAAUUAAUAUUUUUUAUUAAAUUAUUUUUAUAAUUUUUAUAUUAUUUAUUAAAAUUAUUAAUUUAAUUUUAAAAUUAAUGAAAUAAUGAUUUAAUUAGUAUAAUAAAUUGUAUAUUUAUAUAAAAAUUAUAGGUUAAUUUAAGGAAUUCGGCAAAAAUAUUUUUCGCCUGUUUAUUAAAAACAUGUCUUUUUGUUUAAAAUUUAAAGUCUAGCCUGCCCAAUGAUUAUUUUAAUGGCUGCGGUAUUUUGACCGUACAAAGGUAGCAUAAUCAAUAGUUUUUUAAUUGAAAACUAGUAUGAAUGGCUGAACGAGAAAAUUACUGUCUCAAUUUAAAUUAAUUAGAAUUUUAUUUUUAAGUCAAAAAGCUUAAAUAUUAUUAAAAGACGAGAAGACCCUAUAGAGUUUUAUAUUUAUAAAUAUUAUUAUAAAGAAUUUUAAAAUUAUUAAAUAAAUAUUUUAUUGGGGUGAUAAAUAAAUUUAGUAAACUUUAUUUAAUUUUUUACAUUUAUUUAUGAAAAAUUGAUCCAUUAAUUAUGAUUAAAAGUUAAAAUUACCUUAGGGAUAACAGCGUAAUUUUUUUAGAGAGUUCUUAUCGAUAAAAAAGGUUGCGACCUCGAUGUUGGAUUAAAAUUAAUUUUUGGUGUAGAAGCUAAAAAUAUUGAGUCUGUUCGACUUUUAAUAUUUUACAUGAUCUGAGUUUAAAUCGGUGUGAGCCAGAUUGGUUUCUAUCUUUAAUUAUUUAAAAUAUUUCAGUACGAAAGGACCAAAUAUUUAUAAAAGUUAUUUAAUUUUGAAUAUUAUU
rnacentral:rRNA from 1 species